rnacentral:tRNA from 1 species
UCCCAGCUAGAUAAGUCGAUAGAGCAUGAGACUCUUAAUCUCAGGGUCGUGGGUUUGUGUCCCACGUUGGGCG